rnacentral:misc_RNA from 1 species
GUCAUUAUAAACCCUCAAGCCUCGCUUGCUGUUGGACCUUUCGUCGUCAAAAGACGGGUCCCAAAGUUAAUGGCGGAGUCGUCGGACCCUAGAUGCAACGAGCUCUUGUAGCACGCAUUGAAGGGACCGGUAGCUCCAGUUUCAACCACAUCAUUUACCAGGUUGACCUCGGAUCAGGUAGGGAUACCCGCUGAACUUAA